rnacentral:tRNA from 1 species
GCCCGGUUAGCUCACUUGGUAGAUCAUCAGGCUUUUAAUCUGAGGGCCAUGGGUUCGAGUCCCAUAUCGGGCU